GUAAUCAUCCCUGAGCCCAAGAAAUUAAGCGCUGCAUUUCAACAGAGAACUUAACGGGAAGAGAAGUAUUUUGAGCCCAGGUUUAAUGGACAACCUGGUUUAAUACAACUGUGGAAGAAUAACAAACAAAUGAACAAAAAAGAUGAAAUUUCCCAGGGUCUAUAUUAUCUGUUUGAAGAAUACCAACCUUUUAGACAGGAAAUACUAAUAACCAUGGGUCCCAGAACUCUAUUCUGUGGUGGGAAGAACAGUGAAAUGAGUCGGGAGACCUGGCUUCCAAUUUUAACUCUUGACUUUUUAACUAGCUGUGUGAUUUCAGGUAAGCCCAUUUCCUCUCCAAGGUCAGGUUCUUAGUAUGUAGUAGUGUGGACCAAAUUC
rnacentral:lncRNA from 1 species